UACAGGGGGCGCGAGCGUUGCUCGGAAUCACUGGGCGUAAAGCGUACGCAGGCGGACCGUUAAGUCGGAUGUGAAAUCCCAGGGCUCAACCCUGGAAGUGCAUUCGAUACUGGCGGUCUUGAGUACGGGAGAGGAGAGCGGAAUUCCUGGUGUAGAGGUGAAAUUCGUAGAUAUCAGGAGGAACACCGGUGGCGAAAGCGGCUCUCUGGCCCGAUACUGACGCUCAUGUACGAAAGCGUGGGGAGCAACAGG
rnacentral:rRNA from 1 species